rnacentral:rRNA from 12 species
UAACGUCCGUCGUGAAGAGGGAAACAACCCUGACCUACAGCUAAGGCCCCUAAUUCAUGGCUAAGUGGGAAAGCAGGUGGGACGACCAAAACAACCAGGAAGUUGGCUUAGAAGCAGCCAUCUUUUAAAGAUAGCGUAACAGCUCACUGGUCUAAUCAAGUUGUCCUGCGGCGAAGAUGUAACGGGGCUCAAGCCAUGAGCCGAAGCUGAGGAUGCAUUUAUUGCAUGGUAGCAGAGCGUAGUGU